rnacentral:rRNA from 1 species
UGGUCAAGUUAUUAAGGGUGCAGGGCGGAUGCCUUGGCACUAGGAGCCGAUGAAGGACGCGAUAAGCUGCGAUAAGCUUCGGGGAGUUGCACGUAAACUUUGAUCCGAAGAUUUCCGAAUGAGGAAACUCACUUAGAGUAAUGUCUAAGUAUCAUUAAGUGAAUUCAUAGCUUAAUGAGGGGAACUCAGGGAACUGAAACAUCUAAGUACCUGAAGGAAGAGAAAGAAAUUCGAUUCCGUAAGUAGCGGCGAGCGAACGCGGAAGAGCCCAAACCAAUAAAGUUUUCUUUAUUGGGGUUGCGGACAUAUCAUAACGAAGAGGUAUCGUAAUUGAAGAGGUUUGGAAAGACCCACCACAGAAGGUAAUAGUCCUGUAUGUUAAACGAGAAGACUUUAGAUAUGAUCCAGAGUACCACGGGACACGUGAAACCCUGUGGGAAGCAGGAGGGACCACCCUCCAAGGCUAAAUACUACCUAGUGACCGAUAGCGUAUAGUACCGUGAGGGAAAGGUGAAAA